AGAUGAUCAACCUCAACUACACCUCGGACAGAGGAAACUGGACAAAGAGAGGGGCUGACAUGGCAGCUGGUGUUGUGACCUCUCAUCAUGGUAAUUGAGAGCACCUGUGGCGGUGCCCUUUUAAGAAGCUUGGAGUCGGCUUCUCGAAAAUGGGGGCUUUUUCUCCUCACCUCUCGACCACGGCCGGGUCUUGAUUUUAUCUUGUGUUUUGCCGCUACUUUGGUAUCUCUUAUGU